GACGAACGCUGGCGGCGUGCCUAAUACAUGCAAGUAGAACGCUGAAGGAGGAGCUUGCUCUUCUGGAUGAGUUGCGAACGGGUGAGUAACGCGUAGGUAACCUGCCUGGUAGCGGGGGAUAACUAUUGGAAACGAUAGCUAAUACCGCAUAACAGUAGAUGUUGCAUGACAUUUACUUAAAAGGUGCAAUUGCAUCACUACCAGAUGGACCUGCGUUGUAUUAGCUAGUUGGUGGGGUAACGGCUCACCAAGGCGACGAUACAUAGCCGACCUGAGAGGGUGAUCGGCCACACUGGGACUGAGACACGGCCCAGACUCCUACGGGAGGCAGCAGUAGGGAAUCUUCGGCAAUGGACGGAAGUCUGACCGAGCAACGCCGCGUGAGUGAAGGAGGUUUUCGGAUCGUAAAGCUCUGUUGUAAGAGAAGAACGAGUGUGAGAGUGGAAAGUUCACACUGUGACGGUAUCUUACCAGAAAGGGACGGCUAACUACGUG
rnacentral:rRNA from 1 species